GAUUAGAUACCCCUGUAGUCCUAGCUGUAAACGAUGGAAACUAGGUGUGGCUUGUAUCGACCCGAGCCGUGCCGUAGCUAACGCGUUAAGUUUCCCGCCUGGGGAGUACGCACGCAAGUGUGAAACUCAAAGGAAUUGACGGGGGCCCGCACAAGCGGUGGAGUAUGUGGUUUAAUUCGAUGCAACGCGAAGAACCUUACCAGGGCUUGACAUGUCGCGUAUCUCGGUGAAAGCUGAGAGUGCCUUCGGGAGCGCGAACACAGGUGGUGCAUGGCUGUCGUCCGCUCGUGUCGUGAGAUGUUGGGUUAAGUCCCGCAACGAGCGCAACCCUUAUUUUUAGUUGCCAGCAUUAAGAUGGGCACUCUAGAAAGACUGCCGGUGACAAACCGGAGGAAGGUGAGGACGACGUCAAGUCAGCAUGCCCCUUACGCCCUGGGCUACACACGUACUACAAUGGUUGGGACAAAGGGCAGCGACUCCGCAAGGAAUAGCGAAUCUCAUCAAACCCAGCCUCAGUUCAGAUUGCAGGCUGCAACUCGCCUGCAUGAAGGAGGAAUCGCUAGUAAUCGCAGGUCAGCAUACUGCGGUGAAUUCGUUCCCGGGCCUUGUACACACCGCCCGUCACACCAUGGAAGCUGGUCACGCCCGAAGUAGUUACCCUAACCUUUCGAGGAGGGGGAUUCCUAAGGCAGGGCUAGUGACUGGGGUGAAGUCGUAACAAGGUAGCCGU
rnacentral:rRNA from 1 species